AAAUGGAGGAAAAUUGCGGCGGGUUACAUAUGGCGGUUUGCCAAACCGCCAUAAUAUACCAUAUUGUGGGGCAGCUUUCAAUCCGCCAUGCCAGACAUUUGUAAAACGGCGAUUUAAAUGUAUUUUACGGCGCUUUGAACCGCCACUGCUUAUAUUUUAAUUUUUAACAUGUUUUCUGGUUUAUUUCAAAUAUGCUAGACAUCUAAUACUCACAAAUAAACGAAUCCUAGAUCUAUGUAUUCUGCCUCUCCUUCCCACGAAAUCUGGCUCAAAUCUGGAUCAUUGACGCGGUGACUCCCACUCCUCUCCUCUCCUUUUCUAAUCUCUGCUUUCCCUCUCCUCUUCUCGCCGGGCUCGCAAAUAGUUCGCUAACCUCCAUCGUGCCAGAAAAUGUUGCGAAUGCAGCUCGGGUACAGUGUACGCAUCAAGGUUACACAGUGUCUUGCGGAGGGUUCGCGAGUCUCAUUGUGUUUUCGCUCGAAGGAUAUUGGGUUGUAAGUUGUAACAAACUCUUUUUGAGGAGGCAAUGAAAUGUCUUUUGUCAGAAGUAGGAUGGAGUAAUGUCAAGGGGUUAAGCAUGAUUAGCCUUUGGAAUCCGUUAUAAGUGCGAUCUCAAUGAGACCCAGCUAUGGCUCAAAACUGAAAGUAUUCUUCCUGCUAUCCAAGGUACCUUUUUAGCUUCAAGUGUUAUGUGAAGAAUCAGAUCAACCUGAACACUUCUGAAGUUCAAUAAUGGACAAGUUGUUACAUGAAUGUUUUGCUGUGUUUCAUUUCAUUUUUGAUGUUCAGCAUAAGUAAUAUUAUUUGAACAAUAGUUUAGUCAUGUUAAUGGGACGUUUGGACUGUUGUAAUUGGACUGUCUAGAUUGCUUUUUUUUUUUAGUUGUAUUAAUGAGAUUGUCUAACACAGUUGUUUAGUAUAGCUGUAGUAUAAUUCAAUUUCAUUUGGAAUUUGAUGCCAUGUUA